rnacentral:rRNA from 1 species
UAGCGCGGCGGCAGGCUUGACACACGCCAGGUUGAACGGAAACGAUGGUAGCUUGCNUACCAGGCUUCGAGCGGCGGACGGGUGAGUAAUACUUAGGAAUCUACCUAGUAGUGGGGGAUAGCACGGGGAAACUCGUAUUAAUACCGCAUACGACCUACGGGAGAAAGGGGGCAGUUUACUGCUCUCGCUAUUAGAUGAGCCUAAGUCGGAUUAGCUAGAUGGUGGGGUAAAGGCCUACCAUGGCGACGAUCUGUAGCUGGUCUGAGAGGAUGAUCAGCCACACCGGGACUGAGACACGGCCCGGACUCCUACGGGAGGCAGCAGUGGGGAAUAUUGGACAAUGGGGGAAACCCUGAUCCAGCCAUGCCGCGUGUGUGAAGAAGGCCUUUUGGUUGUAAAGCACUUUAAGCAGUGAAGAAGACUCUUCGGUUAAUACCCGGAGACGAUGACAUUAGCUGCAGAAUAAGCACCGGCUAACUCUGUGCCAGCAGCCGCGGUAAUACAGAGGGUGCAAGCGUUAAUCGGAAUUACUGGGCGUAAAGCGAGCGUAGGUGGCUUGAUAAGUCAGAUGUGAAAUCCCCGGGCUUAACCUGGGAACUGCAUCUGAAACUGUUAGGCUAGAGUAGGUGACGAGGGAAGUAGAAAUUUCAGGUGUAGCGGUGAAAUGCGUAGAGAUCUGAAAGGAAUACGAU